CGGCGCCAAGGGUCUCCCUCUGCCACGGACCGGCCCCGCCUUACUCUGGUGGCAAAAAUCCGCAAAGCCCCCAUGGCACCGAAGGGUUGACGAGCGCCGAUUGAAAAUCCCGUCUACUGUCGUAUUGCUCCCCGCAUCCUGUGCGCGUUGUCGCCUCAGGUCCUGGAGUUCCCGCAACUACCACUCCACUGCAUGGAGGUCGAUAAAUCUUCCUCUGACUUUUAAAAAAUAUCUGAUAAAGUUAUAAAUGAACCAGGUUUUUUGUUGUUGUUGUUUUCCCCGAUGCUGGAGGUCUAACCCAGGGACGCUUUACCAGUAAGCUACAUCCCCACCACUUUUUGUUUUAUUUUGUGAGGCAUUGCCUAGCGCAGUAGUUCAGGCUGGCCUCCAACUUGGGACCCUCCUGCUUCUGCC
rnacentral:lncRNA from 1 species